GUGUCAGCCGCCGCGGUAAUACGGAGGGGGCUAGCGUUGUUCGGAAUUACUGGGCGUAAAGAGUCCGUAGGUGGCACUUCAAGUCUGCUUUCAAAGACCGAAGCUCAACUUCGGAAAGGGAGUGGAAACUGAAGAGCUAGAGUAUAGUAGGGGUAGAGGGAAUUCCUAGUGUAGCGGUGAAAUGCGUAGAGAUUAGGAAGAACACCAGUGGCGAAGGCGCUCUACUGGGCAUAUACUGACACUGAGGGACGAAAGCUAGGGGAGCGAAAGGGAUUAGAUACCCCUGUAGUCCUAGCGGUAAGCGAUGGAUACUAGGCGUAGUGCUGUUAGAAGGACUGUGCCGAAGCUAACGCGUUAAGUAUCCCGCCUGGGGAGUACGCACGCAAGUGUGAAACUCAAAUGAAUUGGCGGGG
rnacentral:rRNA from 1 species